CCUACGGGGGGCUGCAGUGGGGAAUAUUGGACAAUGGGCGAAAGCCUGAUCCAGCCAUGCCGCGUGUGUGAAGAAGGCCUUCGGGUUGUAAAGCACUUUCAGUGGGGAAGAAAGCCUUGGGGCUAAUACCCUCGAGGAAGGACAUCACCCACAGAAGAAGCACCGGCUGAACUCCGUGCCAGCAGCCGCGGUAAUACGGAGGGUGCGAGCGUUAAUCGGAAUUACUGGGCGUAAAGCGCGCGUAGGCGGUCUGAUAAGCCGGUUGUGAAAGCCCCGGGCUCAACCUGGGAACGGCAUCCGGAACUGGCAGGCUAGAGUGCAGGAGAGGAAGGUAGAAUUCCCGGUGUAGCGGUGAAAUGCGUAGAGAUCGGGAGGAAUACCAGUGGCGAAGGCGGCCUUCUGGACUGACACUGACGCUGAGGUGCGAAAGCGUGGGUAGCAAACAGGAUUAGAUACCCGAGUAGUC
rnacentral:rRNA from 1 species